GCGUGGGAAUAUGCCCAAAGGUACGGAACAACCACUGGAAACGGUGGCUAAUACCGUAUGUGCCCUACGGGGGAAAGAUUUAUCGCCUUUGGAUUAGCCCGCGUUGGAUUAGGUAGUUGGUGAGGUAACGGCUCACCAAGCCGACGAUCCAUAGCUGGUUUGAGAGGAUGAUCAGCCACACUGGGACUGAGACACGGCCCAGACUCCUACGGGAGGCAGCAGUGGGGAAUCUUGGACAAUGGGGGCAACCCUGAUCCAGCCAUGCCGCGUGAGCGAUGAAGGCCUUAGGGUUGUAAAGCU
rnacentral:rRNA from 1 species